rnacentral:rRNA from 1 species
CCCUUAGAUGUUCUGGGCUGCACGCGCGCUACACUGAUGCGCUCAACGAGUUUUAACCUUGCCUGGAAAGGUUGGGUAAUCUUUUUAAAACGCAUCGUGAUGGGGAUAGAUUAUUGCAAUUAUUAAUCUUCAACGAGGAAUUCCUAGUAAACGCGAGUCAUCAGCUCGCAUUGAUUGCGUCCCUGCCCUUUGUACACACCGCCCGUCGCACCUACCGAUUGAAUGGUUCGGUGAAGAUCUCGGACUUCGAUAUUUAUUCUUUAUUGAGUUUAUAUUGUGGGAAGUUAUCUAAACCUCAUCAUUUAGAGGAAGGUGAAGUCGUAACA